rnacentral:rRNA from 1 species
CCUACGGGUGGCAGCAGUGGGGAAUAUUGGACAAUGGGCGAAAGCCUGAUCCAGCCAUGCCGCGUGUGUGAAGAAGGCCUUCGGGUUGUAAAGCACUUUCAGUGGGGAAGAAAGCCUUGGGGCUAAUACCCUCGAGGAAGGACAUCACCCACAGAGGAAGCACCGGCUAACUCCGUGCCAGCAGCCGCGGUAAUACGGAGGGUGCGAGCGUUAAUCGGAAUUACUGGGCGUAAAGCGCGCGUAGGCGGUCUGAUAAGCCGGUUGUGAAAGCCCCGGGCUCAACCUGGGAACGGCAUCCGGAACUGUCAGGCUAGAGUGCAGGAGAGGAAGGUAGAAUUCCCUGUGUAGCGGUGAAAUGCGUAGAGAUCGGGAGGAAUACCAGUGGCGAAGGCGGCCUUCUGGACUGACACUGACGCUGAGGUGCGAAAGCGUGGGUAGCAAACAGGAUUAGAUACCCUGGUAGUC